UACGUAGGGGUUUAGCGUUGUCCGGAAUUAUUGGGCGUAAAGAGUUCGUAGGCGGUUCGGUAAGUCGGGUGUGAAAACUCUGGGCUCAACCCGGAGAUGCCACUCGAUACUGCCGUGACUUGAGUCUGGUAGGGGAGCACGGAAUUCCUGGUGUAGCGGUGAAAUGCACAGAUAUCAGGAAGAACACCCGUGGCGAAGGCGGUUCUCUGGGACGGUACUGACGCUGAGACGCGAAAGCGUGGGGAGCGAACAGG
rnacentral:rRNA from 1 species